GUGGGGAAUUUUACGCAAUGGGGGAAACCCUGACGUAGCGACACCGCGUGAGCGAAGAAGCCCUUUGGGGUGUAAAGCUCUGUCAGCUGGAACGAAAACAAUGACGGUACCAGCAGAGGAAGCAUCGGCUAACUACGUGCCAGCAGCCGCGGUAAGACGUAGGAUGCGAGCGUUGUCCGGAUUUAUUGGGCGUAAAGAGUUCGUAGGUGGUUUGUUAAGUUUGGUGUUAAAGAUCGGGGCUCAACCCUGGGACUGCACUGAAUACUGGCAGACUCGAGUGUGGUAGAGGCUAGUGGAAUUCCCAGUGUAGCGGUGAAAUGCGUAGAUAUUGGGAAGAACACCGGUGGCGUAGGCGACUAGCUGGGCCAUAACUGACGCUGAGGAACGAAAGCCAGGGGAGCGAAUGGG
rnacentral:rRNA from 1 species